UUUUAUUUGAGAGUUUGAUCCUGGCUCAGGAUGAACGCUGGCGGCGUGCCUAACACAUGCAAGUUGAGCGAUUUACUUCGGUAAAGAGCGGCGGACGGGUGAGUAACGCGUGGGUAACCUACCCUGUACACACGGAUAACAUACCGAAAGGUAUGCUAAUACGGGAUAAUAUAUUUGAGAGGCAUCUCUUAAAUAUCAAAGGUGAGCCAGUACAGGAUGGACCCGCGUCUGAUUAGCUAGUUGGUAAGGUAACGGCUUACCAAGGCGACGAUCAGUAGCCGACCUGAGAGGGUGAUCGGCCACAUUGGAACUGAGACACGGUCCAAACUCCUACGGGAGGCAGCAGUGGGGAAUAUUGCACAAUGGGCGAAAGCCUGAUGCAGCAACGCCGCGUGAGUGAUGAAGGCCUUCGGGUCGUAAAACUCUGUCCUCAAGGAAGAUAA
rnacentral:rRNA from 1 species